rnacentral:tRNA from 1 species
CGGGGUGUAGCUCAGUUGGUAGAGCGCGGCUUUUGGGAAGCCGAGGCCCGCCGGUUCGAGACCGGCCACCCCGACCG